rnacentral:rRNA from 1 species
GACAGAGGGGGCAAGCGUUGCUCGGAAUCACUGGGCGUAAAGGGCGCGUAGGCGGGAUGGCAAGUCGGUCGUGAAAUCCUUCGGCUCAACCGGGGAAGUGCCUUGGAUACUGGCGGUCUUGAGCAACCUAGGGGCGAGCGGAACAAAUGGUGGAGCGGUGAAAUGCGUAGAUAUCAUUUGGAACGCCAAUGGUGAAAACAGCUCGCUGGGGGUUUGCUGACGCUGAGACACGAAAGCCAGGGGAGCAAACGGG